GUGCUUUUACUUACUAGUUGUGUAGGAGCUCCCCUGGUGUGCAAAGUACUAGUGGCAUAGGUUUGUGUGACCUUGCUUCUAUAAUUGGUUAGGUGAGCUCUUGCUAAGGUGGCACCUUGUUUGCUUGUUAGGAUCUUUUACAACGUGCUACUAAACAUAGAUACAUGGGUGUAGUCUUAGUUAGACUAAUAGUUUUAAUUCCGCACUUGUUUCGGUUAGCCAGCGUGUUAACUAUUUAGAAAGGACCAUUCACCCCUUUCUAGUCUGCAAUAUCGACCCUUCAGCCACUCCUCGCACAUGUGACUCCACCCUUCAUGAUUCAUGGAUGUCCAUGCUCAGAUGUAAUGAGCCAUGGACUGUUUGCUUGUUCACAUGUCAAAGUUACUCUUGGGUCCCUACCAAAAUUGUACCAUAUAAAUGUUGGAGAUUAGUUGCAAAUUAUAAAUUCUAGGGAACAAUUUUUGGAUGUGAUCCAUUGCAACUCAAAAACAAUUGAUGCAUGAGAUGGGGACCAAGUCCACCAUCAUAGAAAUCAUGCCACAGAGCCACAAAUACACAAAACUUAACCUAGGCAGUCAAAAUAUGUUUCUAGAGGCGGGCACUGUGUCUGCCUUGGAUAAGGGGUGUGUUAAUCGAUGUUUGAGAAGGCAGACACUGCGCCCAUCUAUGAAAGUCAAUGCUUUUACAGGUGGAUACAUUGCCUAUCUAUGAAAAUCAAUCGUAAAAAACAAAAAAAGAAAAACCCAUGGGCAAGCCGCUGAGCCCAUACAAGCCAUCAAUGCUUGGAUCCCCUAGCGACGAUGCCCUCCUUGCCAUGCCUCCCAUCGCCUGAGUUUGGGGCCCGACCUCCCACCGGCAGGCAGUGCAGGGCAUGGCCUCCUACCGUCAGAUCUGAAUUGGAGGGGGGUGGAGGGUGCCGCUGCUGGGGAAGACAACCGGAGAAGUGAGUAGAUGCUCCUGCUGCUGUUAUGUUAUAUAUACAGGCCUGAUAGAUGGAUUGGAUAUGGGCUUUGCUGGGCCUCAAUUUAUACUUCUUGUGACAAGACUUUUAGGAGGCCCACCACCAAAAAUGGCAUGUCUCCAUAAAUCCUUUUCAAGAUAUGGGCUUUAUUCCAAUGUUGUCCCGACCCCCAAUCAUAGCAGGAAACUCCUCAGCACAAUGGUCAUUUUAGUUGUUAUGGGGAUUGACUCUAGGAUGAAAUAGGC
rnacentral:lncRNA from 1 species